UGGGAUAAAAACAGCCUCCGACCAUUUACUCACACCAUUUUGCCUUCUCAUCGUCGAAUACUACGCUGCUAGGGAGAAGAUCGUUUAAUCGGGAAGUAAUAUUCAUCUUUGGCAGAGUUCAUCACUUUGCUUUCGGUGGAGUUUAUCAGUUGUGCUUCGGCGGAGUUUCUCAAUUGUGUAACGACGGAGUUUAUCAAUUUUUUUUUCGGCGGAGUUUAUCACCUGUUUGCGCCAUAAUUCUUUUCAAUCAUCAAUAUUUCUGGUGCUUCAGGUCCCACCUCUGACGUCACAAUGUCACGACCUCUCUUCGUUCUCGUUCUAUGUAUUAUGUCAUUAACGAUUACACUGCCACAUGUAUCAGCCUCCCCUCUAUAUCAGCUCGAUGCACUAUCACUGAACGAGCCUGACACAACACAGUUUGAAGUAGAAACCAGGGGAUACCGAUCCGACAGAAGAAAUUCUUUAUUACAAGGUAGAUCUCGUAUGUGUUUCGCUUCUGCGAGUCUAAUCUGCGUGUGUGAUCUGCAAGGACGACUCAAGGGGUGUUUUAGGGGAACGUCCGCUGUUAUGGCUGCUCGAGGAAUCGGUGUAUGAUUGUCCGACGACCUCAUGGCAAUUAUUACAACACUAAUGACAAUAGCAAGCAUUCUGUUCGUUUAGCUUCUCAUGUUUCUUGAGGAUUACCUGAUAUAUCAUGGUAUUUGACAGCCAGGAUACUGUCUACUUGUCCUGGAUACAGUCAUUUAAGCUCAUUACAGGACCACGUACGUCAACACUUUAUGAUGACUUGUGUCAAAUCUUCGUUGUUCUGUUAUAGACGUAGAAAAGCGGACCAAUAGGUUUUCGCGA